GACGAACGCUGGCGGCGUGCUUAACACAUGCAAGUCGAACGGAAAGGCCCUGCUUUUGUGGGUUGCUCGAGUGGCGAACGGGUGAGUAACACGUGUGUAACCUGCCCUUGACUUUGGGAUAACUUCAGGAAACUGGGGCUAAUACCGGAUAGGAUCUCCUGCUGCAUGGUGGGGGUUGGAAAGUUUCGGCGGUUGUGGAUGGACUCGCGGCUUAUCAGCUUGUUGGGGGGGUAGUGGCUUACCACGGCUUUGACGGGUAGCCCGCCUGAGAGGGUGACCGGCCACAUUGGGACUGAGAGACGGCCCAGACUCCUACGGGAGGCAGCAGUGGGGAAUAUUGCACAAUGGGCGGAAGCCUGAUGCAGCAACGCCGCGUGCGGGAUGACGGCCUUCGGGUUGUAAACCGCUUUCGCCUGUGACGAAGCGUGAGUGACGGUAAUGGGUAAAGAAGCACCGGCUAACUACGUG
rnacentral:rRNA from 1 species